UACGAAGGGGGCUAGCGUUGCUCGGAAUUACUGGGCGUAAAGCGCACGUAGGCGGCCUCUUAAGUCGGUGGUGAAAUCCUGGAGCUCAACUCCAGAACUGCCUUCGAUACUGGGGAGCUCGAGUCCGGGAGAGGUGAGUGGAACUGCGAGUGUAGAGGUGAAAUUCGUAGAUAUUCGCAAGAACACCAGUGGCGAAGGCGGCUCACUGGCCCGGUACUGACGCUGAGGUGCGAAAGCGUGGGGAGCAAACAGG
rnacentral:rRNA from 1 species